rnacentral:rRNA from 1 species
AUUGAACGCUGGCGGCAGGCCUAACACAUGCAAGUCGAACGAGCGGCGGACGGGUGAGUAAUGUAUGGGGACUGCCCGAUAGAGGGGGAUAACUACUGGAAACGGUAGCUAAUACCGCAUACUAUCGGAUAACCCAUAUGGGAUUAGCUAGUAGGUGGGGUAAUGGCUCACCUAGGCGUCUAUCCCUAGCUGGUCUUAGAGGAUGAUCAUCCACACUUGGACUGAGAGACGGCCCAGACUCCUACGGAGGCAGCAGUGGGGAAUAUUGCACAAUGGGCGCAAGCCUGAUGCAGCCAUGCCGCGUGGGUGAAGAAGGCCUUCGGGGUGUAAAGCACUUUCAGCGAGGAGGCGUUACUCGCAGAAGAAGCACCGGCUAACUCCGUGCCAGCAGCCGCGGUAAUAC